rnacentral:rRNA from 1 species
GACGAACGCUGGCGGCGUGCUUAACACAUGCAAGUCGAACGGAAAGGCCCGGCUUUUGUGGCAUGCUCGAGUGGCGAAAGGGUGAGUAUCACGUGAGUAACCUGCCCUUGACUUUGGGAGAACUUCAGUAAACUGGGGCGAAUACCGGACAUGAGCUCCUGCUGCAUGGUGGUUGUGGUAAAAUUUCGGCGGUUGGUGAUGGACUCGCGGCUUAUCAUUUUGUUGGUGGGGUAGUGGCGUACCAAGGCUUUGACGGGUAGCCGGCCUGAGAGGGUGACCGGCCCAAUUGGGACUGGGAGGCGGCCGAGAGGCAUACGGGGGGAAGGAGUGGAGACUAUCGCAGAAUGGGCGGAAGAGUGAAGAAGCAACGCGGCGUGCAGGAUGACGGUGUUAGGGUUGUAAAUCGGUUUCGCCUGAGACGAAGCGUGAGUGACGGUACUGGGUAAAGAAGCACGGCCUAAUUACGU